rnacentral:rRNA from 1 species
UGGGGAAUAUUGGACAAUGGACGAAAGCCUGAUCCAGCCAUGCCGCGUGUGUGAAGAAGGUCUUCGGAUUGUAAAGCACUUUAAGUUGGGAGGAAGGGCAUUAACCUAAUACGUUAGUGUUUUGACGUUACCGACAGAAUAAGCACCGGCUAACUCUGUGGCAGAAGCCGCGGUAAUACAGAGGGUGCAAGCGUUAAUCGGAAUUACUGGGCGUAAAGCGCGCGUAGGUGGUUUGUUAAGUUGGAUGUGAAAUCCCCGGGCUCAACCUGGGAACUGCAUUCAAAACUGACUGACUAGAGUAUGGUAGAGGGUGGUGGAAUUUCCUGUGUAGCGGUGAAAUGCGUAGAUAUAGGAAGGAACACCAGUGGCGAAGGCGACCACCUGGACUAAUACUGACACUGAGGUGCGAAAGCGUGGGGAGCAAACA